GCGGCCGUGGCGAAAUUGGCAGCACGCGCAGCACUUAGGAUGCUGUGGGAGAAAUCCCUUGAGGGUUCGAGUCCCUCCGGCCGCA
rnacentral:tRNA from 1 species